rnacentral:tRNA from 1 species
AAUUAUUAAACUUUAAAAAGUAUAUGUUUUGAAAACAUAAUAUAGAAGUAAAAUCUUCUAAUAAUUU